CCUACGGGAGGCAGCAGUGGGGAAUUUUGGACAAUGGGCGCAAGCCUGAUCCAGCCAUGCCGCGUGUGGGAAGAAGGCCUUCGGGUUGUAAACCACUUUUGUCAGGGAAGAAACGGCUCUUACUAAUAUUGGGAGCUAAUGACGGUACCUGAAGAAUAAGCACCGGCUAACUACGUGCCAGCAGCCGCGGUAAUACGUAGGGUGCAAGCGUUAAUCGGAAUUACUGGGCGUAAAGCGUGCGCAGGCGGCUUUGCAAGACAGAUGUGAAAUCCCCGGGCUCAACCUGGGAACUGCAUUUGUGACUGCAUGGCUAGAGUACGGUAGAGGGGGAUGGAAUUCCGCGUGUAGCAGUGAAAUGCGUAGAUAUGCGGAGGAACACCGAUGGCGAAGGCAAUCCCCUGGACCUGUACUGACGCUCAUGCACGAAAGCGUGGGGAGCAAACAGGAUUAGAUACCCUGGUAGUCCACGCCCUAAACGAUGUCAACUGGUUGUUGGACGGCUUGCUGUUCAGUAACGAAGCUAACGCGUGAAGUUGACCGCCUGGGGAGUACGGCCGCAAGGUUGAAACUUAAAGGAAUUGACGG
rnacentral:rRNA from 1 species